GAUGAACGCUGGCGGCGUGCCUAAUACAUGCAAGUCGAGCGAACAGACGAGGAGCUUGCUCCUCUGACGUUAGCGGCGGACGGGUGAGUAACACGUGGAUAACCUACCUAUAAGACGGGGAUAACUUCGGGAAACCGGAGCUAAUACCGGAUAACAUGUUGAACCGCAUGGUUCAACAGUGAAAGACGGUCUUGCUGGCACUUAUAGAUGGAUCCGCGCCGCAUUAGCUAGUUGGUAAGGUAACGGCUUACCAAGGCAACGAUGCGUAGCCGACCUGAGAGGGUGAUCGGCCACACUGGAACUGAGACACGGUCCAGACUCCUACGGGAGGCAGCAGUAGCGAAUCUUCCGCAAUGGGCGAAAGCCUGACGGAGCAACGCCGCGUGAGUGAAGAAGGUCUUCGGAUCGUAAAACUCUGUUAUUAGGGAAGAACAAAUGUGUAAGUAACUAUGCACGUCUUGACGGUACCUAAUCAGAAAGCCACGGCUAACUACGUG
rnacentral:rRNA from 1 species